GGAUUUUCCCUUUUUAAACAUUUAUUUACUUAGUUAGUUAGUUUGUUUUGUUGCUGUUUGUUUGUUUGUUUGUUUGGCAGUUUCUCUUUGGAGUCCUGACUGUCAUGGAACGAGAUCUGUAGACCAGGCUGUCCUUGGACAUGGAGAUCCACCUACCUCUGCCUACUGAGUGCUGGGAUUAAAGGCCUGCACCACCACUGCCCCACUAUUUCCCCAAAUUCUUAAAACAAACGAACAACUCCAAACCUUUACAAAGCGAAGGCUGGGACAGUGGAGACAGCUCAGUGCCUGAGGACCUGUGUGGAAUCCCCCAAACCCCUUUUAUAAAAAAGCCAGGUGUACUGGUGUCCACCUGUCAUCCCAGGUGUGCUGGUGUCCACCUGUCAUCCCAGGUGUGCUGGUGUCCACCUGUCAUCCCAGGUGUGCUGGUGUCCACCUGUCAUCCCAGGUGUGCUGGUGUCCACCUGUCAUCCCAGGUGUGCUGGUGUCCACCUGUCAUCCCAGGUGUGCUGGUGUUCACCUGUCAUCCCGGUCCUGGGGAGACAGCGACAGGUGGGAGGCUCCCUGGAUUUCUCGGGUCAGCCAGGCUAGCCUAUUUGGUCAAUUCUGUGCCAGUGAGAUACCCCAUCCAGAAGAAAAGGCGCUGACGACAUUAGAGGAUCCCUUCAGGGCUCCACACGCUUGUGCUCUUGCACAAACACACACCCUCCCUCUCUCUCACACAAAUACGGACAUUGAGAAAUAGGAAGGCUGCCCAGGACUGGAGCUGAUGCCUGCCUGUGUGCUCCCAGCAGCAGAUUCAGACUGAGCGCGUAUUAAUGGAUGGAUGUGCUUUUGUGGAUGGAUUAAAAAAAAAUGCCUUGUACGUGUGUGUGCCAACCAUGUUUCCUCUCUUCUGAGACUGCCCUAUGAGGCCUCACUGACCGUGCAAAGACACAUAGCUAAUUCCUAGGAAAGGGUCUCUUGCUAAUCAACCAAUCCCGCCUCUCCUCCAGUACCUCCUGUCUCAGGCUUCCCCACUCUGAGACACUGUAGAUCUACUCUCCUCAUGUGGGUCCAGGUAGGAGACAACAGGGACAUCUCUGCCCAAGAGCCUGCUCACCCUGUCUGACUGGUUCCUUCCCAAGGAGGCCACAAUUAGGAAUCUUACUGCUGCUUGCCUCACCCCUACCUCCUGACCUUUCCCUGGGGCCUCCUGUGGGGUUCUGCGUGGCAUGGCCUUCUGCCACCGAGGACCUGUGAGGAGUCACUUUUCCCUUCACAAGCAUCCUGUCCUCGUUGUCAGUAUUCACUGUAGUGGGAGUGAAUGAAUCCCGGACACUUUGGAGACACACACUAGAAUGUAUCCAUCCACAAAAGGAAAGGGAGCUUUGGCUUACAGCCAACAGGUGAGGCACUGAAGGGCAGAGAGAGCAGGGCAGAUACCGUGCAAGAACAAGGGGUGCCACGGGCCAAUGAUAUGAAGAUCUAGCUACGGACAUACCAGUGACCGGAAGGAGUGGCCAGUCUCAAAGACCACGCGGUUCAAAGUGCAGCUAGCUGUCCUCAUACCGCUGAAUGGAGAAUGCAUGGAGAGUUAGUGACUUGCCAGAAACUGUAGUUUUUACCUCACCCCCUCCAUAUGCUCAGAACGCUUCGGUCAGCCCCAUGUCCAGCCAAGCCUCGGCAAAUGAAUCCUGUGUACCACGAAGUGCCAGAUAUCUCGCAUAACUUGGUGAAUGUGGGGGAGCUUAUGGGGAGUACCUUACCUGUUCCCUGGCAGUGGUGGAACAGCUUUGGAAGAUAGGGUCUACACCACAGCCCUGCGUAUCACCCCCAAGUCGCACUGCAUGCGGCUAAUGAGAGAACAGACCCAAAUUCAAAAUACCAAGUGCUGUUUCCACCGAAUCUCGUUGCUGUCAUAAAGCAGGGAGAUCUUAGCCCUGAGUCGUGGUAGGUCACCAGCAGACAUUCUCAGAACAGGUAGAUGCAGUCGGUGCAUGAGUAGGUGUGGCUCUGGGGAGUUAUUGGGGGAGGGGGCGGGGCAUGAAACCUUUCUACGAACUAACUGUGGUGGGACCUACUCUAUUCUAUUUUACAACGGACUUUACAACUCAGAGAGCCGGAGUUACUGCCUCUACUGCAUGCUAAUGGAGAAAACUAAAGAAAAUCAAGUACAAUAACUACCGUUUGGACAGGACUGUCUUUAUCUCCUAGGAAAAGAGCAGAAGGGAACUAAUUCCAUCUGGCUCCAUUCCACGAAGUUUUACAAGUAGCUAAAUUCAUAGACAGAAAGGAGAGAGGUUGGCAGGGCGUGUGGGGGAGGGGAGGCGGUGUUUAGUAGGGACUAGGCUUUGGUUUGGGAAACAGCAUUCUAGAGAUAGGUGACAGCAGUGGCCACGCUUAGAGCCAUCGGUCUGUGUAUUUAGAAAUGGUUAGAAGGUGGGGGUGGGGUGCAGACAUGGCUCGGUUGGUAAGGUGCUUGCUUCAGAAGCGUAAAAGUCUGAGUUCAGAUCCUAGCACACACAUUUAACAGAAGGCACUGGGGAGACAGGAGCAGGGGGAAUCCUGGAGUUUACUGGUCAGCUCCUUUUGUUGAGUUGGUGAAAUCCCUGUUGGUUCAGUGGGAGACAGUGUCUCCAGACAUAUUGAGGAGUAUGGUCUCUGCAUGCAUAGAUACCCACAUGUGCCUAUAUGUACACACUCACAUGAACACACACACACACAUACAUAUAUACACAAGCCAUAAAAUAGUAUAUAUCAUGUAUGUUUUACCUCAGUAUAAAGAAUCAGCUAGGCUGCUGGCCAAGGUGGCCGUCGGCUCCGUGUGUGGGAGAAGCUAAGGGCAGGGUGCAGUACUCUCUGGUAUGGCCCACGCCCAGCAGGUGCCUGGGCUAAGUUGUCCUGAUCAGGACACAGUGUUCUUGGUCAGGUGUGGGCACACGUCACCCAGGUCUUCGUGGUCAGUCAUGAGCUGCAGGAACCUGGCCUAGCAGUGCUGUGGCUGCUGCAAGGCUUCUUCCUGACGAAACGCACAAAUGCAGCUUUGGCAAGCAGCCCUGAAUAGAUGCUGGCCCCUUGUACAUGAUGUCUCGAGAACGUUCCCCAGCUGUCUCAGGCGAAGGGAGCCCAGGCACCCCUCCUUUGGAUUGGUGGGUUAGUCUAUUCUUUCCGCAACUACGUGUGUGCCCAUUUGGAGGUGAGUCAGUUUGUGUGUUGGUCUACAGCUGCAGUUGCUUGAGUUUCUUCUGGGGCCCUGUUUGCAACCCUCUGGUGGCAUUGCUACCUUACCUGCCUAGCCCAGGGGCACCCCUCAUGAAGUGAGUUCCCAGGCAGACAGGGCUCUCAGUUGGAGAAGGAUCAGGUACCAUGCAACCAGCCUGGGCUUUGAUGUAGAGCAGGAGAAACUCUACUUUGGUUUUACUUAGGCUCCUGACUGGAUCCCAAAGAAACCACAGCCCAAUCCCCAAACAGGGUUCCCAGUGCAUAAUGAAGCUAGCUGCCGGUCCAGCCCAGCCGAGCCCAAGGGAGGCUGCAGACACCUGUUGGCUCCCUUUCAGGGACUGUGGUGGUCUUCUUCCUGUCUUGAAGGUUUUAUUUGAAAGACCAGAGCCCUAGCUUUCAACUCCUUUCUCAGCUCUGAUAGAGAGCAAACAGAAUCAGCUCUCACAGCUUCGCCCCCCUGGAGCUGAGGCUUGCACUGCCCACAAAGGCAGGCAGGCCAUCAAAGCAUUUGAGCUCAGGUGUGUGGCCUGAGACCAAGGUGCAGGUGGGAAGGAGACUGCGUGGGUCCUAGAACUGGCUCUGGGAUCCUCCAGGGCCCAUUUCCUUCAGCUGCGGCCACUAUCACUACACUAGGUCUGUGGCCACUGCCUGGCUGUGUCUGGCCUUGUGGCAGACCCUUCUUGAGUCCCAGCAAACUCCACAGACAGCCGGAUACCUGCAGACAACAUCUUAAUUGCCCUGUAAGACAGUUUGGCUGCAGAACCCCUUCUGUGGGCAGGCACAGUUUGAACUUCAAAGAGUUUUGUAAUGUUUACAGCAGCGCUAGGAGCGACAGGAUAAUUUUGGUGUCGUUGGAGAGAAGGUUUGGCGGGGCUCCUAACUCUGCUCUGGUCUACAAGCCCCAGGGGCACCCUGGUCUGUGGGACUCACCCAAUGAAGCCCUCUUACCAACCCGGGAAGGCGGCCAACUCUGCUUCAACGGCGCCCGACUCCAGUUGUACCACAAGGCUGGGCCAGGGCGUGGGCUGGAGACCCAGCUGAGUUCCCUGCUCCCCAGGGACCUUGGAGGAGGCGAGACACACACUGGGUAUGUCUGGAGAGGCAUAUGCUAAUUCUUGGGCUCACCCCAGGAAGAAAAACUGUGCGUUUUAUAUUUUCACCUUCCGAAGCAAUCCUUUGAGAUGUCAGAAGAGAACUCACUCACAAGCCUGGAGCUGGUAAUCCUGGAGUCAGACCCUGCUGGGCUUUGGAUAAGGGUAGCACUGGUACAAGCAUUUUCAGAUCCAGUUUCCCCACCUCAGCAGCGAGGCUGACAUUUGGUGGCUAACUAUCUCUCUCCGGGAGGAGGCAUGCCCAUGACAUGCCUGUCUCUGACCCUUGUGGGACCAGGGAGCCCUGAGCGCCCUCUGCCUGGUGGGCUUGCAGCUCCUGCAAACAGAGGCUUCUGGCUGGCAUUUGUGGAAUGCACGGAGGCCUGGACAGAGCUACUGCAGUCUAGGGGAGCCCAGGGGAGCAGCUGCCACAAAGUAGAGCAGGGCUGGACCUUUCUCAACUAUAGCAGGAAUGUCAGUUGUGUACUCUUCAGGAUAGGAAGACUGAAGCAGCCAUUUUUAGCAGCUGUGUGGCCCAGCCCUUCCUUUGCCAACUACCGAUGGGCUGGGUGGCUCCAGGCCACAGCUCUGGAAUGUGACAGGUCACACUGUACUUCAUGGUGACGGCAGGGGACAAAGUAUGAAGAAGCCGGGAGUCUGAGGAAGAGCAUGCACCCAGGGGACCCGCCCUACCUCAGUAAGGCUUUUAUCAGUACACUCCAGCUGUGCAGAAGCUCAGCCCCUCCGGUGAGCACAGACCCUCAUGCCUGCCCUGCAGGCCUCUUGCCUUGAAGAACUCUCAGAACCAGCUGAAAAGCACUCAGUGCUGUGGGGCUGGUGUGCAAGGUCCAAGUGGCUUUUCUAGGUCACUUUCACAAUGGCCUUCCUUGCAGCUGGCCCCAGAAUGAGGAGGAAGGCUGCACUGGCCCUGCAUACCCUUGUGGCAAGAUGAAGCAGCACCAAGACUAGCAUACAAAGGAAGCUCCUGGAGUCCUACGUCGAAUGGAGCACACUCAGGCUAGUUUGCUGAAAAGGAGUGGAAGUCCUUUCUUACCCAAGCAUCACCCACAAACGAGGCAUUGGCAAGAGGCAGGUGCUGGGUAAUAGCCCAGAAAGGGUUUGGUGCCCUGUGGUCCAUGCUUUCUCAUUGGGUCACUGACCCACUUCAACCCAGUCCCCAGGGGUGCUUUCCCUUUCUCAGCAAACUAUCUCUCUACUUCUCAUUGUAUUUUACGUUUAAAAUGAUGUGUGUCUGUGGUUAUGAGCGUGAGUGUAGGUACCGUGGAGGCCAGAAGAGGGCGUCGGAUUCCCUGAAGCUGGAGUUGCAUGGGGUAGUGAGCCACCUGAUGGGGGUGCUGGAAAUCAGACUCUGGUUCUCUCUCUGUAAGGACCACAAGUGCUCUUAACUGAUGAGCCAUCCCUAGUCCAAGUCAUUUCUGUGUCCUUGGUCCAAUUUACUGCUUGCAGUCACAUACACAGGAGCCUAAUAUAUGGAUAGGUGCAGUGGAACCCUCACAGUGGGUGCCUUGGGACUCUGAUCCUCAUCCACAAUAUCCACGCACCAUUGGGUCUUGUCAAUCUGGUUUUGUGUGUGUGUGUGUGUGUGUGUGUGUGUGUGUGUGUGUGUGUGUGUGUGCCUGUGUGGACAGGCAGAAAGAUAAUCAGACGAGGGAGGCAGGGGCUUGUGGGAAGUAGAGACUUGGAGAGUCAAUGUCUGGGGUAGUGAUGGUGAGUACCAUAUCUUACUGAAGGCCUGAGAACCAGGACACUGAAGUCUAAAGAUAGAAGUGGGGGCUCAGGUCAAGCACAGCACCUCUCCCUCACCCCUUCUCCUCCAUCAGGGUAGUCAGCAGCUGCAGUGUUGAGGGCAGAUCUUUCCUGGCCUACUGAUUCUAGCACCCAUCUCUCCAGCAAUGUCUUUUCUCAGCUCAGACAAGCUGAUGUAACCAACCUUUCCCUUCACUCAUUCCUCUGAGCCCUCAGUGAUCUAAAGCAGCGGGGGUUUACCAGUCUCUGAAAUGGAUUCGAUACUUCCCAGGGUGUUCUGAGGUAAGUGUCUGAGACACAGGCUCACAAGAGGCCCCCACAGACUGCAUGCUGUUUUGGCUAGAGAUCUGAAUGUGAAACUUCCAACCACAGGCUCAUGUGUUUGAGCAAUUGGUCCUCAGAUCCUGGUGCUGUUGGGUGGGGUUGGGGAACCUUUCAGAAGCAGAGCCUUACUGGAGGGAGCUGGAUACAAAGGGUGGGUCUUGAGGCCUAUAAUAGCCUCGCCUACUUCCUGUCUGGUCUCUCCUUUAUCAGUGGUUCUCAACCUUCCUAAUGUUGUGACCCUCUAAUACAGUUCCUCAUGUUGUGGUGGCCCCCAGCCAUAAAAUUAUUUUCAUUGCUACUUUGAACUAUAAUUUUGCUGUUAUGAAUCAUAAUAUAAAUAUCUGAUACGUAGGAUAUCUGGUAUGUGACCCCCUUGCACCAUGACUCUGCCUGUCACCAAGCUUUCCCCACCUUGAGGGACUGUAUCCCUUUAAAUCAUGAGCCAAACGGUAUCCUUUUCCUGCUAAGUUGGCCUUUACAGACAUUUAAUCACGGCAAUGAGAAAACAGUUAAAACAACAGCCCAUGGAAAGGGAAGCAAAGGAGUCAGGAGUAAGCAGAGAUUUCAUAGCAGGAGUCAAGCUCGUGACCAUUUAAGUUCACCCACAAAUUGCAUCGCAGGAGUCCUAGACUGUCUCGGGAUCCUUAGAAGGUCCACAGACACCCCCUGCUUCAUCAUGGAGUGUUUGAGGACUGGUGUCCUACCUACCAUGGCUCCAGAGCCUCUGCAGGGGUCCAUCUGGGAGACACGCUGUGCCUCUGGUGUCCUGUGUACAUGCUGCAGGCCUCUGUUCUGCUUCUUCUCUUAUGCUGUACCCUGCAGAGUGCUGGGUCCUCCAGGCCAGGGCAGCACCCCUUAAAACACCCUGUGGUAAAAAGAUAUCAAGGUCCUGUCACUGUAUGCUGAACUGUCCUGGAGUCUGCAGGGCGGAGUGUUCCUGGACUGUUUCCAAGGUGGCUUCUUUGCUCUCUCAGUGCGUUCUCGGAGCUGACGCAGUCACCUUGUUCCUGGGGCUAACUAAGCAUUCAGAGUCUGUGCUGAUCUAGGACAGAAGUUAAAAAGCCUUCAGGAAGGGUCUGGGAGGUGAAUGCAGGGUGGGUGGUAGGAGAAGGGAGGAGGACAGGGGAGACAUUAUCAGCUUUGCUAGGGACCCAAGGCUGCAUGUAUUCCCGUGGAAAUGUAAAAGACAGACAGUGAAAUCGUCAGCCAAAACAAACAGCAUUGAAGAGUGGGUGGAGCCUUCUCCAAAGUGCGUGGGCGUGUGCAUGUACGUGCAUGUGUGUCUGCGUGUGUGUCCAUUGGCUUGCGUGCUUAAGAAAAGGCUGGGGCUGGGCAGGCAGGCUGGACAAAACAGCGCCAUCUACCUGAGUGGCUUCAGAGCCUGUAGAAUGCUGAGCCAUAUGCCAGCUCUACUGUGGCAGUCUGAGGAAGGAGCCUGCACGGCACCUGUCAUUUGGCCAUCUGUGCGGUGAAGGUGGCUGAAGCCCAGUUGUCAAGCAGCUGCUGUCAAGGGAGGUCUCUUGUAACAGGGUGGGCACCAGAUGUGGCUUAUGGAGUCAAGAGAGAUUGGUCCUCCACAGCAACUCCAUUAUUUCCUUUGGUUGAUUGCAGCUGCUUCUCCCACAGCUGGGAUGCUGGCACAAAGUGGGUAGGGGGGGUGGGGCUGCAGGACCCUUGGCGUAAUGUACUUUUUAUUGAAAAAUUGUCUGGACCUGUUUGAACUCACUGAAAGGCUGGCUCGAAAAGUAGGGUCACCCUUCCCCAUCCCUAUCUCAGAUCCAAGCAACUUUUGCCUCAGGGUGUCCUCCAAGACCUCCUAUCUGGGAGUGAGAUACACUCCCCAACUCUGUGGUACGGAAGAGAGAACUGCAAAGCCACCCAAGGGUAGAAUCGUAAGUCUUUAAACUCACUUAAAUGGUGAACCAUUUCCGAGCCGGGUGACACGAAAGUGUCUUCAGUUGGGAAUAAACGGAAGAUUAGCUGUGGGGAGCUCAGCCACGGAGAGAAAGCUCAACCAGGGACACUAGCUGUCUGCCUCAACUUCCCCAGGCAGUUUCUGCUGAAUGCUACGGAUACCUGGUUGCAUGAUGUCAUCUCUAUUUGUUGCCAUUCGUUUUGUCAUUUGGAAGACUCAUCUUGGGGUCACUCCACUCUGGCUGGCACUCCAGCCGACUGCCCAAUUGGGCUUCCCUAGUUGAUUCCUGCUGGAUGUUUUGAGCAUGUGAUUUGAUGACCUUUAUUCUGUAUCAUCUAUAUGCCUGCCUGCCUAUCUAUCUAUCUAUCUAUCUAUCUAUCCAUCUAUCCACCCAUAUUUAAUAAAUUGACUCAUUUAAAACCCAAUCUCCAGACCCUCCAGAAAAUAUGCAAGUAUUUGAAGCAGCAGGUCUUUAAGAGACCUUGGGUAGGCUCUGAGCUGGAGGGACUCUCUGUGCUAGAAAGCCGGGCAGGAUCCAACUUCUGUUCCAGGGACCUGGGGACAGUACUCUGACCAGCUGUCCCCAUGGUUUCCUAUUUUCUGUUCACCUGCAUGGCAAGUACUUCGCUCCUUGGAUACAACACAUUCCAGUCAUGGCUUAGCACGGCUCCUGGGACCCACCUCAAGUGGUUUGCAUUGCUAAUGGCUGGGUCAUGCCUGAAUUUCCUCACACAUAUUCACAAAGUUGCUGCAUGGCCAAAGCAGGCAGGACCCAUACCCAAGGCCCACUGCUACUGCAAAAACCUCUUGCUAAACCUGAGGAUACUGUGUUCCUGCUGUGGGUGCGAACUACUGGUAAUUUAAGGGGUCAGUGAGCUUCCUGGACACCUAGUUUGAGGCAUAAAUAAGUACCAGGUCCUGUGGACCAGAAACUUUGGAUAUCACACAGCAGAGCAUCUCUCCUUCGGUCUCUGGUGUCUGGGGCCUAGGCUGGGACGUCUGAGUUCUCAGUCACUCGUCAGUCUGACAGGUUAGUGGCCUGUGACUGGGAUUUGACUCCCUUCCCACACCUGCUACUUGGGUUUCCUCACAACUUGGCAGCUGGGUUUCCUGGGGUUCCUCAGACAACUGGAAGAAACUACAUCAUGGCAACCCCAUAGCCACCCCUUUUGCCAUACUGUCCUUGCAGACAUUGUCUAGAUUCGAGGCUGGGGGACAGAUGGUCUCUUAGUUAAAUGUCUGUUAUGCUGUAAGGCCGUGUGUGGACAGGAGGUUCAUACAUGUAGACACACGGCUUGAAAAGAAGUGGGCCCCAAUGUGAGGGGAAGAUCCUCGGAAGGAGAUCAGAGCAAGGAGAAGAAGCCCAAUCAGAGGAAGCAUUACGACAGGUGUCAACUGAUUCCUGUAGCUGCAGACUUGGCUACCCCUACUGAGACCUGUGUUCAAGGGGAUCCUGUCAGGCCCUGGGAAACUCUGUACUUGUGGAGUCAGAAGAGAAUGAUUAAGCAGCUUUUUAGCUAUGGCCUAGGUUGAAUUGUGACUAACAAUUAAAAAAAAUUCAUGUUGCAUGUAGAAUGUAAAGCUGUGAUUAUUUUGUUCUAUUUUAAAAUCUCAGUAAAAAUACCCUUUCCCCCUACCCCGACCCCUGUGUGUGACUUCCUUCACAGAGAGUGAGUGAGAAAGGUAUCGGUGGAAGCAGCCCCGGAAAUUAUAAUGGCUUAUCCACAGUUGUCCAAGACAUUUGUAAAGACAGUUCCUGUUGGUUUUAUGGCUCUCCGGCAUUUCCUUAUCCAGAGAGAUUCAGUAACCAGAGCAGCAGCUGUGCCUCCCUCCUGUUCUACUGGAUCAACAAGUGCGUGCAUGCGUGUGGUUCUGGGGUGGAACUCAGACCCCCAUGUUCACAAGGCAGGCGCUUUACCAACUGAACCAUCUUGCCAACUUGACCCCGAUUGAAGCGCCGAGGUUGGUUGCUGCUCAUGGAAACCUGGUAAUUUACCCAAAAAAAGGUAAAUAAGGGAAAAAUAAAAAAUAAAAAGAAGCAGAAAGAAGACUCUGCUGGUUAGAUUUUAUGUCAGUUUGACACAGGCUAGAGUCUUUUUAGAAAUGAGAACAUCAGUUGAAAAAAUGCCCCGCCAGCUUGCUUUGAUUAGUGAUUUAUUGAUUAGUGAUAAUGUGGCUGGGCCAACACCCAUUGUGGGCAAGCAGUCCUGGGUGUAUAAGAAAGCAGGCUGAACAAGGCAUGAGGAGCAAGCAGCAUUUUCCUACGGCCUCUGCUUCGGCUCCUGCCUCCAGGUUCCUACCUCGUCUUCUCUCAGUGCUAAGCCGUAAGGUGAACAACUCUUUCCUUCCUGCGUGGCUUUUGACUGUGGUGUUUUAUCACAGCAAUAGAAACCCUAGCUAAGACAGGGGCAAAGGCAACAGUUUUCAGAGUUAAAUGCUGGCAAUUGUAAGCCAAGCUUCAAGUGUCAGUGGGAAGAGACUCACAGGAGGAUCCCAGACACAGCCCUGUCCCCCAGCUCUGAUCUGAAGGCUCACUCUUCAUUUGCAUGACACCACUGGCAGCUACAGGAGAGUCAAGAGGCCCAUUAGGGUGCUUUGGGCCUUGAGGUCCUUUCUGGAACUUAGUUGCUUUGCAGCAUGUCCUGGGCUCAGGUGUACUCCUGAUAGAUAGAUUCUGGACAAUUUCCAUCUGGGGCUAAUGUCUGUUCUCAGAAUCCAAGUUCUUGGGCCAAGGAUGAUGGAGAAAGGACUUGCCUUGCAAGCACAAGGACCUCUCUUGGAUCCUGAGGAUCCAUGUAAAAACAAGAAACCUCGGUAUGGUGGUAUGCUGUACUUGUAAUCCCUGCCCGGGGAGAGAGACAGGCCAACCACAGGCUACAGGCCUGUGAGAAACCCUGUCUCAAAAACCAAGGAAGACAGUGUCCUGAGGAAUUAUGCCUCAGAUCUCUCUCUCUCUCUCUCUCUCUCUCUCUCUCUCACACAUACACAUAGACACACACACACAUAUAUACACAGGUAUACACACACAUACACACACAUACACACCCCCCACAUACACACACAUACAUAUACACAUACACACAUACACACACACACCAUACACACACAUAUACUCAUACAUAGAUAUACAUACACACACAUACACACACACACAUAGACACACAUAUAUAUACACGUAUAUACAUAGACACACACAAACAUAUAUACACACGUAUACACACACAUACACACAUACCAUACACACACAUAUACAGAUACAUAGAUAUACAUACAUACACAUAGGCACAUACACAUACACACACGCACCAUACACACAUACAUAUAUACAUACAUAGAUAUACAUACACAUACACCUACACACACACCUACACACACACACACAUAGACACAUACAUACACACACAUAUACACACACAUACACACCAUACACACACAUACACAUACACAUACACAUACACACACACACACACACACACACACACCCCUCUAAAUUCUUGGCUCCCUAUACCUGCCGUUUGCAGCCUCUCUGAGUGACAUGUUCCCUACAGAAGCAGCAUCCCUUGUUUGUGCUAACAGUCACCGCUUUUCCUGCUUCUCUUUCUUCACUUGAGUAGCCAAAGACGGCUCGAUACCGAGAGGAAAUCAUCUCCAAAUAAGACAAAUCACAGCACCCUGUUUACACAGCAGCAACUCAAUUACUGUUUACCCUUUCUGCAGUGAAGGUUAUCAUGAUACUCAAAGAGAGACCCAGAGCUGUCUGCCCUUUCCCCACUUCUGCAGGAGCCGGUCUCUUGACCAGACAAUUACCGUAAAAUACUCUCUCUCUCUCUCUCUCUCUCUCUCUCUCUCUCUCUCUCUCUCUCCUUAGUGAGAGAGAUCAUAUCAGUUCCUCAGAGUGGGAGGUAUUAUAUGGCCUCAAUCCUUCUGAAUAGACACGGGCAGGCUUGACACACUCUCUGGGAGUGAUUUCUGUCUUCAGGGUUUCUAUUGCUCUGAUAAAACAUUGCGACCGAAAGCAACUUGGGGAAGAAAGGGUUUAUUUAGCUUAUACUCCUAGGGCAUCCUUAAGGGAUGUCAGGGCAGGAACUUGGAGGCAGAGAUCAUGGAGGAGUGACACUGGUUUCUUUCCCCUUGACUUUCUCUGCCUGCUUUCUUACAGCACCUAGCACCUCUAGCCCAGGAUUGCGCACCUACACUGAGCUGGGCCCUUUCCUAUCAAUCAUAAGAAAAUGUACCACAGGCUAGCCCAUAGAUCAAUCUGGUGGGAACAUAUUCUCAAUGGAGGUACCCUCUUCUAAGCGACUCCAGCUAUCUCAAGUUGAUAAAAGAACUGGGCAGCGCAUGCAAUGAAUCUAAAGAGCUAGCUAGGUUUCUGGAGAAAUGGGCUGACGGUUUAAGAUGGUUUUUUGGGCCACUGUGUCUGAGGUAUGGGGAGCUAUCUGGAGGUUGCUCAUGGGUUCAAAAGCAAGAGGACAUGGCUGAGUGACUGGAGGGCUGUGUGAAGGAGUGGGUGCCAGGGACAGGCUGUUGACAGCCACUUUCUCACAGCUAUCAGAAAGACAGUAACUACCAGGCCCUGAGGCUGAUGGCUGAUCCAGAGUUGGGUAAUCUUGUGGUAUGUAUUGAUUUUUGCAUCAUGCUAGACCAAGAUUAAUGAGUGUUUGGUUUCUUUCUAGCCCAGUUUUCUUAAGGCUCCCAAAACAAAAGUAAUUGUCUGCAGGGGCAAGUAUGGGAGAGUACACAAUGCCACCAGUUCCGGAACCGUAAGGGCCACACCGUGCUCCACUUUGUUCUCCAAUUAAGAUCUCUGAAGUGCCCUUUGCUAGUGGCUUUGGUGUCUGUGGUCAGGCUUGUGACUGGAUUUUCUUCCACAGGCCCUAUAUCUAUAUUCAUCAAUAUCAAUAUCUGUCUGAGGCUCCCCAUAGGUCCUGGGCCCUGCUUCUGCCCAGUGCCUCAAGCAGCAAACAUGUAUUUAGGUGCUGGGGUCCCCUCGGCUGGUGCAGGUAUGAUGGCCACAGAUAUGUGUGCGUGUGUGUGUGUGUGUGUGUGUGUGUGUGUGUGUGUGUGUGUGUGUACCAGGACAUGCAGGGGAUUUCAGUUUUCUCUUACCACGUGGGUUCUGGAGACUGAACUCAGGUCAUUAGACUUUAACCUACUGAGUCAGCCACCUUGCUGUCUCUACACACACGUGUUCUGAGACAGGUUCUGUCAGUGCACCCGACACCCACAGAUUCUGCAAUACCAGCUGGCCACCGAGCUUCAGAGGUCGCCGGCUCCAUUCCCCCAGCACUGGAGUCCCAGACAUCUGUGUUGCCGCAUCUACUUGUGUGAAGGUUCUAGGGACAUCAGUUCCGGUCUUCACACUUGCCCAGCAGAUGGUUCACUUCCCUAGACCCUCGAUGACUCUCUUAUGUCUUUUUAAGAUCAAACGUGUCUCCUUGGUGACACCGGCUCCAGGGCUCACGGAAAUGUUUAGAGACAGCUGGUCCCGUUGCAGUCCUCACCUAACCUGUCUCUAUGGAGCUGGCGAGUCACCACGCUCAUCCGAUGCUCUUCCUCCCCAGCUCUCUGCCAACAGGCAACAAACCAAACACGAUGUGCAUUUGUCUCUGGGUCCUCUGCUGACUGAGCCGAACUCCUAGCUUGGGGAUGCUGUCAUGAAUGCAUGCCCGGGUGUUUCUGCAACAUGCCUUACACAUCUGACUGGUUUCAUCACCACAGAACUGUGCAAGCGAGUUUUUGUGUUUGUUCUAAGCACCCCAAACCCCAUGUCUAGGAAUAUGGAGGUGCAGAGGAACCCCAGCCUCAGACCACACGGCUUGGUCUUGGCAAACAGCUGGCCAACGUCCUCAAGUGACUCUUUGAAUGGAAGUCUUACGUAAGAAAAAACAUUUGUUUUGUGGGGAAGACAGCUUCUUAGAAAGGGCAUGUUUUAGCUCUUUUUGGACCAUGGCUUUGAUGUGCGGACACUCGCCAUUUACACACUAAGGUGUGUGCUUGGGUUUGGGGUCAGCCUUUUGAUACAUCAUCUAAGACCCGUGAGAUCUGUGGACUUUGACAGUGCAGGAAGCAGGUGUUGUGCUUCCUGCACCAGCCCCUUGCCUUGACAUUCUAGACGUGUACUGUGGUAACUAUUUCUACAGACACUUGAACAAAUGUUUAUUCAACCCAGAUGGGGGUGUGGGGGGAAGAACGACAUCCACACCCAGGUUGUUGAACUGCUGGACUUAUUUAGGUUACUUCUAGGAGCUCGGGUGAGGGGUUAUUUACAGGAAUACGGAGACCUCUGAACAUUUCUUCAUCCAAAAGUUCUACCCUGGCAUGGGUGAUGGCUUCCUCAUAGCUACUUAACUAGAACCUUCCUUCAGUUAAGCCUUCACCCUCUACAAGCUCUCGAACCUUCCCAAACCAUGUGCAGCCGGGGCAGAAUUACACACAGCUGGAAGGAGGCUGCAGGGGUGAGUGGCUGGAAUAUCAGCUCUCAAUCUAAUCACCUUCUCCAUUCCCCUGAUGUUAGGGACUACCAAUGGGUCUGAUCCCAUGAGGGUCUCCUGAGGGUACCAAGAGCUGUUCUGAUAGUGACCGCUACGCUGUGCCCAGAGGACAACAUUCCACAACUCUGUGGAACUGAGGCUGUUAAAGAACUUACCUUAGAGGGCCAUUCACCUCCUCAGCUUGCUUCUAGGAGCUGAUGUUACAAGCUUCUGUUUCUUAGUCUUAGACAAAUCUCCUCAGCAGUGAGGGUCAGGGGCCAGACUGUUAUUACUCCCAUGUAUGAAAACUCCAUUUGUAGUCAGAAGGCCUAUUUUUCUGUUUGUAAAUUAUCAUCAACAUCCAUCCAUAAGAUCUCAGGCCUCAUUUACCCAGUGAAUUCUGAGUAGCUACUUAAUGCUCAGGCAUAAACAAUGAGAGUACGGCAGUUACUUUAUAAACAGGCGGGCAUGGUGUGGGCCUGAGAGUUUCUAGAUAGAACGUGUGUAGUAAUUAUAAGGCCAGAGAAGAAGUGUAACUUAAGAAUUGAGGCGGAAAGUGUAUAAGGGUCAGAUCAUCACAAGGACAAAAAGGGUGGAGCCGAACUGAGGGUGGUGGAUCUGCAGGGCCUGUCUGAGAAGAGGCUGCUGAGAUGGCACACCAUGGAACAAACUCUAAGCACAAAGAGUGUUCUAAGACGGUGUCUGUGAGGAUUUGUUAUGUACCUCAUUUCUGUCCUGGGAGGAAGAGGGAGGCUCCUAAAGAAUCAGGAACUAAAAGAAACUUAGAAGGCACAGGAAGUUCCUGAAAGUUAUAAGAUUCACAAAGCCCCUGCCAUAAUCACAUAAGCAGUAACAACUUCUGGGGGAAGAGAUUCUCCAGUCAAACAAGCUGCCUGCAAGUGUGCAGGAUGUCUUUCCUGGGUGAAUUGCUCAGUGAUCUAGCUGCUUCUGUGUCACUCAAACCCCCUAUAAGCAACACUGAAAAACUCAUUGAAUCAUCAGUUCAGACUCUGGUGGAAUUGGUUCUUUGGGCUGUUGUUGGUGUCCUAUCUGCAUCAAGUUGACAUUUAUCUAUCCCCAGGGAAAGUCACACAGUAAGGCCAAGGAAUGGGGUGCCAGGAUGGUCAGUGGGGGUGAGAAGCGGUCUAACAUAUGGGUAUUCACAAGCCAUGACAAGAAGCAUGGGUUGUGUUUAAGACAAAGAAGUCGGGGGAUUGGGGAUUUAGCUCAGUGGUAGAGCGCUUGCCUAGGAAGCGCAAGGCCCUGGGUUCGGUCCCCAGCUCCGGAAAAAAAAAAAAAAAAAGAAAAGAAAAAAAAAAGACAAAGAAGCUGGGACUGGAAAGACACUCAGUGUAAAGUGCUUGGUGUAUAAGUACACAGACCUGAGUCAGAGCCUUGGCUCCCAUAAAAAACUGGACUUGGUGGCACAUACCCAUAACCCCAGCAUUGGGGUGCAGGGGAGGAUCCUGAGAGAUCUCCAUGAUUUGUUGGAUUGGUGAGUUCAGGGUUCAAUGAGAGAUCUUGUCUCCAAACAAACAAAGAGAGCCAUAAAGGAAGGCAUUUGAUGUGACCUUUGGCUACACAUGCAUCUGCACACAUCUGCUUUUGUACCAGUACACAUAUACAUGCACACACAUGAAAAUGUGGACACGCACAAUGCACUCAUACACACACACUUGUGUGUAUGUACACACAUACUCAUGCACACACACACAUACACACAUACACACACACUCGUGCACAUGCAAAUGCACAGAACAUUUAUUUAUCCUUCCUCUGAUCCGUGGUUUGGUGGAGCAAUGCUGGGGAGAGGGAAGGGUGGAGAGGACAGGAGCAGAUGAAGGGACGAUGAAGCUGUGACACUUACAAUAUAGCUUCUUUGAGGGUCUCCUUUGUAGGUUGACAGGCAGGUUGGGGCUGAGCACAGGAGAAACCAGGCAGAAGCUGGGCCUUUGGGGUCUGCCCCGGGUAGCACUGAGGGGUCCCAGAGAAGACUGAGCAGCAGAGAGACCAGUGGGAAGGAGUGAAGUCCAGGGAGCUUGAUUUAAAAUCCAGCACGGAGGGACUCUGAGGGAAUCUGGGAGACUACUCGGACUGCAUGUGAUGCAGGAGAGGGAAAGGGAGCAAAGGAGGGGUGGGGGAGAAGAGGGAGGGUGGAAGAGAAGGGUGAUGAGGGGGAAUGGAGAAACAUGGGGGAGGGGGAGGGGCAUAGGGAAGGGGGCAAACCUGAGGGGUGUGGGUAAAGACAGGAAUACCAGGCUGUGUGGCAAAUGAGGCCAGCCUGGGACACACACACACACACACACACACACACACACACACACACACACACACAGAUACACACACACAGACACAGACACACACACUCACACAGACACACACACAGAUACACACACAGAUACACACACACAGACACACAACACACAGACACACACACAUAGACACAUACACAGAAACACACACAGAUACACACACACAGACAUAUACAUAUGCACACAUGCACAGUCUGUCUCUCUGUCUCUGUCUCUGUCUCUCUUUCUAACUAUGGUCAGCACCUCAGUGGACAGGCUAAAAGGUAAGAGUUUUCUUCCUUCCAUUUGAGACAGGGUCUCACUAUGUAGUACCCGCUUGCUUCGAGUCUAUGAUUCUCCUGCCUUUGCCUCCUGUGUGCUGGGAUUAUAGGUGAGCACAGUCAUGCUGGGCUUCCUUUGUGCUUUCUAAAAAGAUCCUUCCAGCACAGUGACUUCCAUUCCCUUCAUGAGUUCUGUCAUACAGAAGAGCUUUUCCUUUUAGGGUGUGUGAGGUGUGUGUGGAGGCAGAUGGUUCCCAGGAGGCACCUCCUAUCAGCCCCUCUCACCCUCACCCCAUUACGCUGUUUACAGCACCGAUGCCUGGCAGUGGUUUGUAGCCAUCAGUAAUUGAGGCCCAGCCAUUGGUUUCUGCAAACCAAGCCCAACUUCAAGACACCGUUUAGAGAACAUAGCUCUGCCAGCCAGCUUUCCUUCACUAUGAUAAAUACCCAAGACGAUAACCUUAUAAAGAAAAAAGGUUGGUUUUGGCUCAUGGCUUCAAGGUCAGUCUGCGAUUAACUGGCACGGUUGCUUUGGGCCAAUGCCAAGACAUGACAUUAUGGUGGAAGAGUGGGGUUGGGCAGAAUGACUCAUUUCCUGGCCAGGAAGCAAAACCAGGAAGAUCCCAUACUCUCAUCUCUAAAAGUGGUCCCUAAGGAGCCCACUGCUUCUAAGUCCUGUCUCCUAAGGAUGGUACUGCUUCUCAGUGCAUCUGGUCGAACUGUUAACCUGCCAGCCUGCCUCUCUCAGGGAGCAGGAAUCCCUGGUGGCCUUUGGCUUGGCAUGGCUCACAGCAUUUGAGGCUCUGUCUUCUUGGGACAGAGCCUGAAGUGCUGGCUGCUCAGAAAGCAGGUAGGAGCAGAGGGGACAGGGGACCGGUGCAAAGCUGCCGUGUUCUAACCCGGAGAGAACAUGACAUCGAGUCUGCCUCUACCCAUGAAUUUUUCAUCAUGUCCCUGCAAAUCUGCCUCCCUGGAACCAACCGGCCAUGGGUCAAAACUAUCAGGAAACCAUUGCUUCUGUCCCUGUGCCCUAAACAACAGAGCUGACAGCUGUCUCUGCGGCAGCCACACUGUUGUGGGUAUUAAAUGUGAUGCAGUGGUUGUUUAAUGUCUAUGGGGUGUGUGUGAGUGUGUGUGUGUGUGUGUGUGUGUGUGAGUGUGUGUGUGAAUGUGUGUGUGAGUGUGUGUGAGUGUGUGUGUGAAUGUGUGUGUGAAUGCAUGUGUGAAUGUGAGUGUGUGAAUGUGUGAGUGUGUGUGUUGUGUUGUGUGUGUGAAUUUGUGUGUAUGUGAAUGCAUGUGUGAAUGUGUGUGUGUGAAUGUGUGAGUGUGUGUGUUGUGUUGUGUGUGUGAAUUUGUGUGUAUGUGAAUGCAUGUGUGAAUGUGAGUGUGUGAAUGUGUGAGUGUAUGUAUGUGUGUGUGAGUGUGAGUUUGAGUGUGUGUGUGUGUAGGCUUUAGGUAGAUCCUAGAGUUUUUUAUAUGAGGAAAAUAAGUGUGGACCUUGCUACUCAUAGGUCCUGGCACCAAUUUAUGCCCCAAGUCUUAUAUCCUUUCCUGUUGCUGUGAUAAAUACCCCAACAAAAGCAACUUAAGGGAGAAAGGAUUUCUUUUGGUUCAAGGUUCCAGGCCAUGAUGGUGGGAGAGAGUCCCAGUGACAGGACCUCGAGGGACCAAUCACAUUGCAUCUGCAGUCAGGAAUCUGACAUGUGAUGAAUUCAUAGUAGUGCUCAGCUUACUUUCCCUUAAUUUUUAUCCAGCCUAGGGAAUGGUGCCACCCAUUGUGGACAGGUCUUCCCAAUCUCAAUUAACCUGAUAAUCUUUCACAGACAUGCUCAGUGUCUGUGACUCUCUAGCCCUCGCUGUGGGGCUACAAAACCAUUUCAUCUUCUAAGACCCAAGCUCUGAACCCCUUGAGCUACUGCUUCUCUCUAACAUGGACUCUUCCAUCCCACAUUUUGUUUUAGCAUGGCUCAUAUAGACAUAUAGACUCAUAUAGCAUAUCUCUCUCUGUGUGUAUGUAUGUAUGUAGUGUGAUCUCUCUUUUUGGGUGUGUGUACUGUGGUGUGGUGUGUGAAGUAUGUGUGUGGUAUGCUGUGUUGUGGUGUGUAUCUGGGGGGGUGGAUGUUGUAUAUGGUGUGGUGGGUGUGGUUCCUGUGUGUUUGUCUGUAUGCAGUGUGUGAUAUGUGGUAUUGCAUGCAGUGUGGUUUGUGCGGUGUGUGUGUUAUGGUGUGCUGUGGUCUGUUACAUGCACUAGAUGUGGUAUGGUAUGGUGUGUGCAGUGUGUGUGUUUGUGUAGCACUGAGGGUGUGCGUGGUGUGGUAUGAGCAGAAGAGACACAGAAGGAAGAAAUCACUGUGAACAAUUAUUCUCUGAAGCCCGCAGUACAGAGGCAGAAGCAGGCAGGUCCAGCUGAGUGACACCAAGCCCAGGGGGCUUCCAUGAGCCUGCUGAGAAUCCUGAAGCGCUAGGAAGGAUGAAGGUGGUUGGUUAUGACUGCAUGACGUGGGCUUUCACUCACUGAGUCCUGAUUGACAGGGAGCACCUCAGGUAGCUCUGGAGAUAGCAAGGGAACGAUGGACGGACACUCCAGAUCUGAGCUGGCACCGGCCUCUCCCUUCCAAGUGGCUUGCAUGGGCGCUAGUGAGCUAAAGUGAAGCCUAGAGUCCUGUUCAAGCUCUGCGUACUUGCUGGACUGCCCAAGAGCAAACGCCACAGGGCAUGUGCUAGCUUAGCAGGUAAAGUCCUUGCUUUCUGAGCAGAAGGGCCCAGGUUUGCUCCUAAGAACCUGUACAAAAAGCAGGGCAUGUUGGCAGGCUUGUAACCCCAAUGCUGAGGAGGCUGAGACAGAAGGAUCUUAGGGCUCCAGACGAGCCCAGUUGGUGAUCGCCAGGUUCAGGGAGACACCCUGUCUUGAAAGAUAAGAUGUACCGUGAUUGAGGAACGACUGGAGUUUGAUCUCUGCUCUACACACACACACACACACACACACACACACACACACACACACACACACACACA